UGGCUUCUAGCAGUGGAAGCCUGAACUAUAAUGGGCCUGUCCCACAGAGAACGUUUCCAAUUACUUUUGGAUACCUCCUUCACAUCACAUUUUUCAA